GCUUGACACCCACAAUCAGGUCCAUGUUGAACAACCACACACUAUGCCAUGGCAGCCUGGUGUUCAUCAUGGUGCAUCAGGGCUGGACCAGUUUGUUGCUGUGCAGCAUGGUUAUGCCAUACCAAAUGUGCAACACAGCACAACAGGGCUUGAUAUACACAAUCUGGUCCAUGUUGUGCAACAACCACACACUAUGUAAUGGCAGUAAGGUUAUCAUCAUGGUGCAUCAGGGCUGGACAUGAACCACAUUGUUCCUGUGCAGCAUUGUUACACCACAUCAAAUGUGCUGCACAGCACAGGUAACACCUGAUGGAACCCAUCAUACCAAAUGUCUGUGGUACUGCUCCAAUGACCUUAUAUUCUUUUAACAAUGACAAAUUAUAUAUGAGCAGCACAUCAGUCUGGAUUAUGCCAUGUCAAGGAGCAGUGAGGGAGGUCCCAAACAUUUGGAUCUUAACACUGAUGUCAAGUCAGGCACCUUAGGAUGCCACAAGAGCUGAUGACGAGGACAGGGAUACAGUCAGCCUUAUCUGGCCUGCAGAAGGAGAGUGGAAAGAACCUUGGAAUUCCAUCACUUCAGAGGAGGCGAUCUGGAUCCAUUCAGCUUCAUCAAGCUUAGUGAAUGGCAAGACAGUCCAGACUAUGCCAUUAUACCAUCUUGAGGACUAAUGAAGGAAGUCCCAAACAUUUCGAACUUGGCACUGAUGUUGAGUCAGGCCCCUCAGGUUGCCUCAAGAGUGAAGGACCUUAUAUCCACAACAUCCGGACUUCAGAAGGGCAGGACUAGGAUCCACUCAGCUUUGCCUGGCUGCCAGAAGGAGAGUGGAAAGGAACUUGAGCUGGCCGCUGUGGCUGAGCGGUUCUAUGCGCUUCAGUCCAGAACCGCAUGACUGCUACGGUCGCAGGUUCGAAUCCUGCCUCGGGCAUGGAUGUGUGUGAUGUCCUUAGGUUAGUUAGGUUUAAGUAGCUCUAAGUUCUAGGGGACUGGUGACCUCAGAUGUUAAGUCCCGUAAUGCUCAGAGCCAUUUGAACCAUUUUUGAAGACAUGGGUGUAAGUGCUACUCGGAGAUGAUCAGACGGGAAUUUGUGUCUGUCUUUCUGACAAUUUUAAUACAAAUGAUGGAUACGUUAUAAUUGUGCAAGAUUUCUUGUAGCACAAUUCACACAAUGUGUGUGUCCUCUGAAACAUUAUUAUGUAAUAUAACACAGCUGGAAAUGUUAUUAAUUUUAGCUUUUUGAAAUAGUUAGGUAUUUCCCAUAUUACUGCAGAAGCUGUGUUCUAAUGCAUGACAAUUGGCAUAAACAUAAGAAUGUCCCAAUUGGACACUGGUGAUAGAUACUCGUGAUGUUUUCCAUGUCCUUACUACUGCACUUGUGACAUACACAAGCAUGUUUUUAAAGGUUUGAAAACAAUAUCAAAAUUGCUGGAGGUAAAGACAAAUAGGUACUUUCAACUCUUAAGAUUUAUGUCUGUCAUUUAUAGUAAUGUAAGAUUGAUUGUUCACUGUCAUCA